rnacentral:rRNA from 1 species
CAAUAGCGUAUAUUAAAGUUGUUGCGGUAAAAAAGCUCGUAGUUGGAUUUCUACCGAAGAUAGCCGGUCGGGUCUUCGACCUUGUAUCUGGUUUUGUCUUUGGUAUCCUCAUAGGGAACGUUUCUGCGCUUUAUUGCGUGGUGCGGUAUCUAUGACUUUUACUUUGAGGAAAUUAGAGUGUUCACGGCAGGCAAACGCCUUGAAUAUAUUAGCACGGAAUAAUAACAUAGGAUCUUCGUCCUAUUUUGUUGGUUUCUAGGGCUAAGAUAAUGAUUAAUAGGGAUAAUUGGGGGCAUCUGUAUCAACGCGUCAGAGGUGGAAUUCUUGGAUUGCGUUGCGACAAACUACUGCGAAAGCAUUUGCCAAGGAUGUUUUCAUUGA